rnacentral:rRNA from 1 species
AUUGAACGCUGGCGGCAGGCUUAACACAUGCAAGUCGAGCGGGGUGAUGGUGCUUGCACUAUCACUUAGCGGCGGACGGGUGAGUAAUGCUUAGGAAUCUGCCUAUUAGUGGGGGAGAACAUCUCGAAAGGGAUGCUAAUACCGCAUACGUCCUACGGGAGAAAGCAGGGGAUCACUUGUGACCUUGCGCUAAUAGAUGAGCCUAAGUCGGAUUAGCUAGUUGGUGGGGUAAAGGCCUACCAAGGCGACGAUCGGUAGCGGGUCUGAGAGGAGGAUGCGCCGCACUGGGAAUAGGACACGGCACAGACUCCUACGGGAGGCAGCAGUGGGGAAUAUUGGACAAUGGGGGGAACCCUGAUCCAGCCAUGCCGCGUGUGUGAAGAAGGCCUUAUGGUUGUAAAGCACUUUAAGCGAGGAGGAGGCUCUUUUGGUUAAUACCCAAGAUGAGUGGACGUUACUCGCAGAAUAAGCACCGGCUAACUCUGUGCCAGCCGCCGCAGUAA